AGAGUUUGAUCCUGGCUCAGAACGAACGCUGGCGGCAGGCUUAACACAUGCAAGUCGAGCGCCCCGCAAGGGGAGCGGCAGACGGGUGAGUAACGCGUGGGAAUCUACCUUUUGCUACGGAAUAACUCAGGGAAACUUGUGCUAAUACCGUAUGUGCCCUUCGGGGGAAAGAUUUAUCGGCAAAGGAUGAGCCCGCGUUGGAUUAGGUAGUUGGUGGGGUAAUGGCCUACCAAGCCGACGAUCCAUAGCUGGUCUGAGAGGAUGAUCAGCCACAUUGGGACUGAGACACGGCCCAAACUCCUACGGGAGGCAGCAGUGGGGAAUAUUGGACAAUGGGCGCAAGCCUGAUCCAGCCAUGCCGCGUGAGUGAUGAAGGCCCUAGGGUUGUAAAGCUCUUUCACCGGUGAAGAUAAUGACGGUAACCGGAGAAGAAGCCCCGGCUAACUUCGUGCCAGCAGCCGCGGUAAUACGAAGGGGGCUAGCGUUGUUCGGAAUUACUGGGCGUAAAGCGCACGUAGGCGGAUACUUAAGUUAGGGGUGAAAUCCCAGGGCUCAACCCUGGAACUGCCUUUAAUACUGGGUAUCUUGAGUUCGAGAGAGGUGAGUGGAAU
rnacentral:rRNA from 1 species